UGAGUACGAGACGCUAAGGCGUUGAAGCAGUCUAUGUCAGACUUCUAAGAAAAGCUCGCAAUGUCAUAAACAAAUAAUGCCUGUACCAUAACCGACACAGGUGGGUAGGUAGAGUAUACUAAGGGGCGCGAGAUAACUCUCUCUAAGGAACUCGGCAAAAUGACUCCGUAACUUCGGGAGAAGGAGUGCCUUAUUUUUAUAAGGUUGCAAUAACAAGAUCCAAGCAACUGUUUACCAAAAACACAGGUCUCCGCUAAGUCGUAAGACGAUGUAUGGGGGCUGACGCCUGCCCAGUGCCAGAAGGUUAAAGAAGUUGGUUAGUUUCGGCGAAGCUGAUGACUGAAGCCCUGGUGAACGGCGGCCGUAACAAUAACGGUCCUAAGGUAGCGAAAUUCCUUGUCGGGUAAGUUCCGACCCGCACGAAAGGCGUAAUGAUUUGGAUACUGUCUCGGAGAGGGGCUCGGUGAAAUAGACUUGUCUGUGAAGAUGCGGACUACCUGCACCUGGACAGAAAGACCCUAUGAAGCUUUACUGUAACUUGAGAUUGAAAUUGGACUUUAUUUGCGCAGUAUAGGUGGGAGACGUUGAGAAUAUUCUUGCGGGAAUAUUGGAGUCAUCAGUGAGAUACCACUCUUGUAAUGUUAGAUUUCUAACUUUGUAUCAUGAUCUGGUCAAAGGACAGUUUCAGGCGGGCAGUUUGACUGGGGCGGUCGCCUCCCAAACGGUAACGGAGGCGCACAAAGGUUUCCUCUGAACGUGUAGAAAUCGUAUCUAGAGUGUAAAGGCAUAAGGAAGCUUGACUGUGAGACCUACAAGUCGAGCAGGGACGAAAGUCGGUCUUAGUGAUCUGACGGUGCUGAGUGGAAAGGCCGUCACUCAACGGAUAAAAGUUACUCUAGGAUAACAGGCUGAUCUCCCCCAAGAGUUCACAUCGACGGGGAGGUUUGGCACCUCGAUGUCGGCUCAUCGCAUCCUGGGGCGGUAGUACGUCCCAAGGGUUGGGCUGUUCGCCCAUGAAAGCGGUACGCGAGCUGGGUUCAGAACGUCGUGAGACAGUUCGGUCCAUAUCCGGUGUAGGCGUUAGAAUAUUGAGAGGAGCCUUCUUUAGUACGAGAGGACCGAGAAGGACAUACCUCUGGUGUACCAGUUAUCGUGCCAACGGUAAACGCUGGGUAGCUAUGUAUGGAGUGGAUAACCGCUGAAAGCAUCUAAGUGGGAAGCCCACCUCAAGAUAAG
rnacentral:rRNA from 1 species